rnacentral:rRNA from 1 species
UGGGGAAUAUUGCACAAUGGAGGGAACUCUGAUGCAGCAACGCCGCGUGCGGGAUGACGGCCUUCGGGUUGUAAACCGCUUUCAGCCAUGACGAAGCUUUUGUGACGGUAGUGGUAGAAGAAGCACCGGCUAACUACGGGCCAGCAGCCGCGGUGAUACGUAGGGUGCGAGCGUUGUCCGGAAUUAUUGGGCGUCAAGAGCUUGUAGGCGGUUUGUCGCGUCGAUAGUGUAAACACGCAGCUUAACUGUGUGCCUGCUGUCGAUACGGGCUGACUAGAGGAGGGUAGAGGAGUAUGGACUUCCCAGUGGAGCGGUGGAAUGCGCAGAUAUCGAGCGGAACACCAGUGGCGAAGACGGUUCUCUUGACCUUUCCUGACGCUGAAAAGCGAAAGCGUGGGUAGCAAACAGG